rnacentral:rRNA from 1 species
AUGAUGGCAGAGAGGUCACACCCGUUCCCAUACCGAACACGGAAGUUAAGCUCUCUAGCGCCGAUGGUAGUUGGGACCUUGUCCCUGUGAGAGUAGGACAUUGCCAGGC